GGUGAAAGAAUGUUUCGACAGUUUUCAAAUUUUUGCUGUUUUGUUCGUUUUGCUGCUCUGAAAUUAUUCGAAAAUGAUGAACCGCCGUGGAGGACACAAGUACAAUGUCUGUGGGGCCGCGGAAGUCGAGAAUCCGACCAAAUUCGCUUCGCUGAAACGACCGUUAUUGCGUACGACAGCAAUAAUGCCUCAACAAAUAGAAGUGCAAUGGAAAAACAGAUUUUUUCAACCCGGUAGCAGCGUUGCGAAGCGGUCAUGGCUUGAGUGUGCCAGUUACAAGAACACGAUUGUUUCCGCGACUGUUUCCAACCAGAUUAUGGAGUUAGACGAAGGUGUUUUUCUGAAUGUGUUUUGUACCUGAUGAACCUUCAUGAUUUCAAGAUACCGUCGAGCUUCCAGAUUAGCCGAUCCAUAUAUCAGCAAUCAACUGAAACUCCUGGCAACAGCCCCCUAGUCGUGAAUUGGCCCAGCAGAGUAGAUCCAGUGAUUUUGAUCGUCGUAUAAACAUUCCUAUUUUCGAAGGUUUUUCCAAACGUCCCCAAGCAGAUGAUAUUGGAUGAGGUAGAUAUCGAUUGGCUAAUAGAUUCUUCGAAAGUAGAACUACUAAUCUGAGCCAUACCAGUUGGUUCUUGAUGAGGCGGAUCGGAUGACGACAUUGUUUGUUAUUUGUAUAAUGUGAGGAUCGUACCGAUGAUAAAAAUCCAUCAGAAGCUGCAACCCGCAACGAUGCGCUUUAAUUAUUUUAAAACAGAUAGUAACAGAUCGCUGAGACCGAAGAAUUCCAGUUCCCUAGCAAGUUCACCAGAGACACGAGAAAUCCAAGAACGAUAAAUAUACACCUAACAGCUUCUGCUCCUCACCAACCUACUGGGGAAAAUCGACGAGAUAAUGCUGUGUAUGUUCAAUUAGCUUAUGGGCUUUCAAGAAAAUGAGCCUGAUAUCUAAAAGGGCCGAUAUUGCAUUCGUAGAAUUUGCUGUGGAGAAUUGCUUCCUGUAGGACUUGUAAAAUAUUUCGAUUCCUGAUUUAGCUGGCGCUUGUGAUGGAAGUCUAGAAUCACAGAAAAACAGAUAUAACGCAUAAAACACUACCUGAUAAAAAUAAUAAUCACUAACAUCCCAGACAAACAGACGUAACUUUUUAUAUUGUUCGAAAUUUCGUUCAUAUUCGUUUUGAAGAAAACACA